rnacentral:rRNA from 1 species
GUCUAUGGCCAUGCUACCCUGAACAAGCCCGAUCUUGUCUGAUCUUAGAAGCUGAGCGAGGUCUGGCCUGGUUAGUACUUGGACAGAGACCACCUAGGAAGACCAGGUGCUGUAGGCA